AAAAAGGGCUUGUGCCGUGACUGGCACAGGGACGGGGUAGUUUUCUGCCCUGUCCCUGCGGAAUCGAUAUCAAGAGAUUUCGGAAGCACAAUUUUUUGUACUACUACAUCAGAUCAGUGUGUACU